GUGUCAGCCGCCGCGGUAAUACGUAGGUGGCAAGCGUUGUCCGGAUUUAUUGGGUUUAAAGGGUGCGUAGGUGGUCUAUUAAGUCAGUGCUGAAAUAUCCCGGCUUAACCGGGAGGGUGGCAUUGAUACUGAUGGACUUGAGUAAAGUUGAGGUGGGCGGAAUUGACGGUGUAGCGGUGAAAUGCUUAGAUAUCGUCAAGAACACCUAUUGCGAAGGCAGCUCACUAAGCUUUAACUGACACUGAGGCACGAAAGUGUGGGGAUCAAACAGGAUUAGAAACCCGUGUAGUCC
rnacentral:rRNA from 1 species